rnacentral:rRNA from 1 species
UACGGAGGGUGCAAGCGUUAUCCGGAUUCACUGGGUUUAAAGGGUGCGUAGGCGGGCAGGUAAGUCAGUGGUGAAAUCUCCGAGCUCAACUUGGAAACUGCCAUUGAUACUAUUGAUCUUGAAUUUUGUUGAGGUAGGCGGAAUAAGUCAUGUAGCGGUGAAAUGCAUAGAUAUGACUUAGAACACCAAUUGCGAAGGCAGCUUACUAAGCAAACAUUGACGCUGAGGCACGAAAGCGUGGGGAUCAAACAGG